CCGCCUCACCCCAGCCUGUGCCCCGCCUCCGGGACAGCCCAGUUUCCGAGACCUCCUAGCCUCCAAGACAGCCCCGCCGCCAGAACAGCCUCUCCUCCAGGACCGGCCAGCCUACGAGAGAGCCCCGCCUACGGUACAACCCGCCUCCGGGACCGCAGGACUCCACCUCCGAGACAGCUCAGUCCCCAGGACAGUCCCGCCUCCGAGACGGCCCCGCCUCCAGGACGGCCCCUACCUCCGAGACCGCCCCGCCUCCGGGACCGCCCCGCCCCGCCUCGCCUCCGACACGUCCCCCGGGCGCCACUGCAGAGCCUGUCCGUCAGUCCCUAGGUAUCCGCACUGCUCAGGGUUUUCUUUUAAGAAAUGCCUUUUUAUGAAAAUAUUUCAAAAGGAAUUCAAGUUUAUUUUGAAAAAAUGCACACCAAUACAGAAAUAUAGAGAGGAAAAUGGCAACUCAUCCUCCUCACCACACCACCAGCUCCAGUCUCAUGCCUCUGGACCAAGGAGGAUUCCCUGGGAGCACCCACCAGCUGAGAUCUGCACAUCAGCCACAAUCCUCUCAGGACGGCGGAAAGGGAAGGGCUCAGCCGCCAGCCUGGCCACAGCCUGCAUCAUCUCAUCCCAGAGGCGGAGCACAGGCUCGGGGUCCUUCAGGGCCUGAAGGUUUGUGGUUGGCACUGUCAGGAUGAUGUUGUCCGUGGCCAGCUCUCCCCAGGGAGCCAGGUUCUCCUGCAUCUGCCUCUUCCACUCCUCCAGCGAUGUCUUACCUGGGAAUAAAUAUCAUGGAACCUACCACACCCACUUCUCCAACUUCCCUUGAGCUGAAAAAUACCAUUUGAACUCUGGAAGAACAUUGCAAUAAUGAACUACUAUCACAGGCGUCUAUAGGCUGUAAAGUGAAGAAAAGGCUUCCUGACUCUUCUCUUUGUCUGCCCUGAAGUCUCCAUGGACACAGGGUAUUCCGUAUCUUCUGCCUCCAUGUUCCCUCCCAACAGUUCUUCCUCUUUCUCUCCACCAAAGCUCAUCCCUCUCCCAUUUAGCAACCACCCCACAGUUCCCACGGCAUCUGCCACUCUUCCUCCUCCCUAAAUGUUCACUCCACUUACCCAGCUUGUAGUAUGGGGCAGGCACAGCUCCCCUGAUAGUGACAGGCACAGGGCCUAGUUGGCUGCCCUUGGGCACGAUGACGUAGAGGAGGCCGCCCCAGAGGCAGGAGACUGACCGCUCAGUCCUGUCCAUCCAGCAUUGGUGAGUCACCACGGGGGCUCGAGAUAGCUUCCUGGCCUUGGUAAGGUCAUCGGUGUGGCAGCCAAUCUGUACCUGGACAGGUGAUUCCACCAAGCGUUGGAGAAAUUAGAGUCUUUGUGAUGCUUUGUGAUGUGCGUGUGAGGUUGUGUAGAUGGAAGGUAUUAGACAAACAUGCCCAUGAAACCCCAGCUUCCCUUUUCUAUGUGCUAGGCAUGGAAACUUAUGAAAUUUUAGCACUCCAAAGUCAUUUGGACUUCAAGGCAUUUAAAAUCAUUUUUCUAAGGAUUUAAACAGCUCCACUAUAAGUCUUCACCUGACAUGAAUUGGUGAGAGACCAGGCUGAUCCUGGCAAAGGUCUUGUGUCUUUCUGCCAGGCAAAAUCCUGGGUUCUUCUAGCAGGACCUAAGCCAGUCUGGGGACGCUGAUAUUGAGGAUGAGCUGGGGGACUCUGCUCUGUCCUCUGUGAACACACAGGAGGCCCAUCCAGAGUGAGUGAGGUUGAUUCUCUCUCCCUCUUUGCCCAGAGCUUCCCUUUCUGGCCGCCAGAUGGGUGGAGAUCUGUUUUGUCUGGAGUCCUGGAGUUGCUUUUCUUAGGUUUGAUAUAAGCAAGCUCCAGAAAGAAUGCUGACAGAAAAGGGACCCUAGCUGUGGUAGGAAGUGGCCCUCAGAGUCAAGGAGGCAGGAUGAAUUUAAAUUCUGCAUGUAGGGCAUAUUUUGGGGAGUGAUGGGAUUAUGCACACCCUUCAGGUGUCAAGAUAAAGAGAUAAAACCAGAGUUUGUGCAGAAUGAGCUUGCUGACACACAGCCUAAAUUUGUACCGCAUGUUUCAUACUAACUCCCUCUGAGUUUGCACAUGGGACCCAUGAGGAGGCAUGAAGAGGUAACUGCCCAUGCCCGAGGAUUUUCCAGCCCUUCCUUUUCUUUCUAUCAAUCACCUACUAAUCACAGAAUCCACUCCCUACACCUUUUCUACUAAAAUAACUCUUUAAAAUAAGUACAAUGGGACAGAUUUGAGCUGGGCUCCUGUCUCCUUGUUAAUCAAAUUGCAAUAAAAUGUUUUCUUUUGUUUUUGUUUUUGUUUUUUUUUUGGUGAAAAACUCAAGUGUCAUAGUUUUGGCUUCUAGUCCAUUCUGCAGUGAGCUUCUCUUGCUUGAUAACACUAGGCACUUCAGUCACUCACUUAGAUGCCCUGAAAUUUAGCUGCUUCAUCUGUAAAAUCUGUAAAAUGGGCAGAAUAAUCCAUCUCUGUACUCCUGGCAGCAUUGCCAUGAGCUGGAACUAGACAGUGGAUGAGAAUGACACAGCUCUACGGUUUUGAGAGGUGGCAGAUGUGGGUGUUCAGACCUUACCCUCAGGCCAGCAGAGGCAGCAGCUUCAGACAGUGAGACUUCUGCAUUUUGUCCUUCCAGGAGGUAGAGCCCGGUACUCACCCAGCAAUCAUUGUUGCCUGACAAAAGUCACAGAGAAGGCUCAGUUCUUCCUUCCUAUGUGAGUAUAUCUCCACUUGGGGCCUCCCAGCCCCUCCCAGUGGUACAGCUUCUCCCCUGUGUAUCUCAAGUCAUCCAUACUUCUUAGACUCAUCCCCUCUAAACCUUAAGCAGUGUCCCAAUCCCCAUCUUCUUGAAAGUACCUGAUGAAGAAUGGAGUCAGCUGGGCCCAGUGGCUCACGACUGUAAUCCCAGCACUUUGGGAGGCCAAGGCAGGUGGAUCACCUGAGGUCAGGAGUUCCGGACCAGCCUUACCUUUACGGUGAAACUCCCUCUCUACUAAAAAUACAAAAAUUAGCCAGGCAUGGUGGCGUGUGCCUG
rnacentral:lncRNA from 1 species